AUUGAACGCUGGCGGAAUGCUUUACACAUGCAAGUCGAACGGCAGCACGGACUCCGGUCUGGUGGCGAGUGGCGAACGGGUGAGUAAUACAUCGGAACGUGCCCAGUCGCGGGGGAUAACGUCGCGAAAGCUACGCUAAUACCGCAAACGAUCUACGGAUGAAAGAGGGGGAUCGCAAGACCUCGCGCGAUUGGAGCGGCGGAUGGCAGAUUAGGUAGUGGGUAGGUUAAAGGCCUACCAAGCCGACGAUCUGUAGCUGGUCGGAGAGGAUGUUCAGCCACACUGGGACUGAGACACGGCCCAGACUCCUACGGGAGGCAGCAGUGGGUAAUUUUGGACAAUGGACGCAAGUCUGAUCCAGCCAUUCCGCGUGCAGGAUGAAGGCCCUCGGGUUGUAAACUGCUUUUGUACAGAACGAAAAGGCUCUGGUUAAUACCUGGGGCUCAUGACGGUACUGUAAGAAUAAGCACCGGCUAACUACGUGCCAGCCGCCGCCGUAA
rnacentral:rRNA from 1 species